rnacentral:siRNA from 1 species
UUACCCUCUAACCACAUAUCGC